rnacentral:lncRNA from 1 species
UUUGAGUGGGAAUCUGGUCCGGGGUCAGGGGCGGGGGUGGGGGUGGGGAAGAGUGUAUAUCUGCUCAUGAAUCCUAGAGCAAUAUACUUAACACCUUGUGGUGUGUUAAUAUUAAUGUGGAGGCAUUUGUUUGUCUAUGUUCACAGCAUCCUUGGGACUUUACCCCAUAGGUAUCAGAUAUCAGGAACUGCCUCGCUCAACAUGCAACUAUGAGUUAUAUACAUACAUAGCGAUCCUUGAAUACAUUUAUCAGAUCUUAUCAUCAUUCAACUGUUUUAAGAAAAAAAAACAGAAAAAAAAACGUCUCAAUUGUACCUCGGGGGACAAAUCAAACCACAAGCUAACAUAUGGGUGAGCGGUUAGACUAACACCAAGUAUGUUAAGUUGGUGAGAGAGAGUUCAGUAAAAAGUGAGUCCGAGAGGCAGUUAGGACUGACUAAAGAAUAUACAUUUUCAAAUAUCUUACUAAUAUCCUUUAUUUCCCCCCAAAUUAGGAUUAUCUGUAUUUAAAAUCUUGCUGUCUUAUUUUGUAUUCUUAUUUUUCACUUACCUGUUGACUCCUUAGAACUGAUUUAGUGCUUAAAUACAUUUUUCCAAAAACCUACAAAACCAUGAAGGUAAGUUUUUCGGUAUCCAAUAUGGUGCUUUAUCUCCAUCACUAAAUGCCACGUCUGCUUUAUGAGCAGGUGGUUUACAACUUAUUAUAGUUAGUUCAUAUUAAUAUUACAUUAUUUGAAUUGUAUUAUUUGCAAUGUGUUUAUGAAUUGCCUCACCGUCAUUCAUGAAUUAUAUUAUUUUAUAUUUACAUAAUCUGCAGUAAAAGUAUUUACAAUUUUCACGAUCAUUUAAAAAUACUUCAGAUUUUAGAUAGAUCUCUUUAAGCGAAUUCUAACUACGAAAAUUUAAGUAAACGUAAGGGAGAAACACUCACAAUACAAUUAUUAUUCAGGAUUCUUGGUCUCAAACAUUGUUAAAAAUAGAUGAUAUUGACUGGGUUGAACCGCUGAAGAAGAGCCAUACACAUGAGGUUCUGUUAUUGAUGAAGGGCUACAUGGUAUUAAAGUGAAAGAGAAGGAACCGCUUCGUUGUGUUUCUGGGUGUCGGUGUUUGAACUCAGGGUUACAGACAUCAAAGUCAGAAAGACAUGCUGGACAAGAAAUUGCAAACAUGAACAGCGUGAUCAAUGUAGUGACUCAUGGUUACCUGGCCAUAAGACAAUACAAAAGAGAAAUCCUUCUAUUCGCUCUUAAUAAAUGGAUUUUCUGCCUAGCA